rnacentral:tRNA from 1 species
GAGCUUAAAGUUGUGAACCAUUGGUUUAGAAAACCAAUUUGGGGCUGUAAGAAAUUCAACUAAAGUUAGAUCCCUCAUAAGCACA